CACUAUAUACACUACCCUCCCUCCUCCUCCUCUCCCUUUCUAUUUAUCUUUUUUUUUGCUCUUUGUGUAGUUGAGGAAUCCUUCCAUAAACAGGUUGAAGAGUUAAAGUCAUUUCAUAAGAAAGAGGUUCAUGAGUUACAGUCAAGACAUGAUAAGGAGCUAAUGGAGAUGCAUUUAAGUUACCAGUCAUCAAUUGAAAAGUUAAGACAAGAGAUUUCUCACAAAAGGAAUUAAUAGAGAAAUGCUAGUCAUUAGGUUAUGUAUAUUGUUUUAUUGUUUUUUUAUAAAUUACUCUCUCUUUGAUAUAAAACUGCACAUUAUUAUUAUAGCUAUAUAGUCUUGUAUAUUGUAUAAUAAAAAUAUUAAAAUAA